UCUCAUUGUGUUCAAGAUUCAAUAUACCAAAGCAAUUGAACUAAUAGAGGUGGGUUUGAAUAUGGAGAAAGACUGGUUAUAUGAAUUGGGUAUGUUAGUGUCACAAUUGACUAUACUCUGGCUAUCUGAAAUCAAUUAUCAACUACAAAACACCAAGGCUUAUUACUUCCGUCUUAAUUCAACCCAUAAUUUAUUCUACCACUAUCAAUUCAACGAUACUUCUAUAUUCUUAUCCGUUCAUCUUCCACUUACUCUUUUUGUGGUUUAUAUAUUCAAUUACUGAUCUCCUACUUACCUAUUGUAUUCAUUUUCUCAAUUCAUCACACAGAAUUCAAUAUCUCGGCUUACGACUCUCACAGUCUAGCACUCUAGACUAACUUCUCACUAUUCAGAAACUAUCCAUUACUCGUCAACAACAAAGCAACAAAAAGAGGUAGCACGUAGCUUGCCCUAGCUUACGACUAUCACAGUCUAGCUCUCGACUUACGACUCUCACAGUUUGGCUCUCGGCUUAUGACUCUAUUAGUCUGGCUUUCAUCUCUCUUUCCUCAACCUCUUUAUCCUACCAAAAAGAUGAUCCGUCA
rnacentral:lncRNA from 1 species